rnacentral:misc_RNA from 1 species
GUUGAUCAUAUCAUCAAAUUCUUUAGCAGAAAGGAAAUCAUUGCUUCUAGUUGUCCUAACUGAUGUUGGGAUUGACAAGCCACCACGCUUGUUUGAUUCUUUUGGCUUGCUUGUGUAACUUCGCUUCACAUCUUUCCCUGCGAAAACCUUGUCAUCAUCAUGGACACUGGAACUAGGUUUCAUUGACCAUGAUUUUUGAAACAGUUGUGAUGGUGGUGGUGGUGGUGGUGGUG